rnacentral:ncRNA from 1 species
AGUCUUCAGGGCGGGGCGUAAUUCCCCACCGGCGGUAAAGUCCGCGAACGCGUAAGCGCCGAAUCGGUGAAACUCCGAUACCGACAGUAUAGUCUGGAUGGAAGAAGAU